rnacentral:rRNA from 1 species
UACGUAGGGCGCGAGCGUUGUCCGGAAUCACUGGGCGUAAAGCGCACGUAGGCGGGUCUUUAAGUCAGGGGUGAAAUCCUGGAGCUCAACUCCAGAACUGCCUUUGAUACUGAAGAUCUUGAGUUCGGGAGAGGUGAGUGGAACUGCGAGUGUAGAGGUGAAAUUCGUAGAUAUUCGCAAGAACACCAGUGGCGAAGGCGGCUCACUGGCCCGAUACUGACGCUGAUGCACGAAAGCGUGGGGAGCAAACAGG